rnacentral:piRNA from 1 species
UGCUAGCUGUAAGGUCACUGAUAGCUCAGU